rnacentral:rRNA from 1 species
UACAGAGGUCUCGAGCGUUGUUCGGAUUCAUUGGGCGUAAAGGGCGUGUAGGCGGCGGGGUAAGUCUGGUGUGAAAUCUCGGAGCUCAACUCCGAAAUUGCACUGGAUACUGCUCUGCUAGAGGGCUGGAGAGGAGAUCGGAAUUCACGGUGUAGCAGUGAAAUGCGUAGAUAUCGUGAGGAAGACCAGUGGCGAAGGCGGAUCUCUGGACAGCUCCUGACGCUGAGGCGCGAAGGCUAGGGGAGCAAACGGG